rnacentral:rRNA from 1 species
GAUCAUGGCUCAGGACGAACGCUGGCGGCGCGCCUAACACAUGCAAGUCGAACAAGCGAGAGAGAGCUUGCUUUCUCGAGCGAGUGGUGAACGGGUGAGUAACGCGUGAGGAACCUGCCUCAAAGAGGGGGACAACAGUUGGAAACGGCUGCUAAUACCGCAUGAGCGCACAGUACCGCAUGGUACAGUGUGAAAAACUACCGGUGGUGUGAGAUGGACCCGCCGU